rnacentral:lncRNA from 1 species
UGAGUUCUCCAUGGGAUCAGGCUGAGACUAGAGUUCUGAAGCAGCUGUAUUCUGGCCCAGCUUCUUCCCCAGCUCUAUCCUGCUUCCCUCCAUCUCCUAUAGGAUUCUCCUUAGAGUUCUCCCUCCAUUAGUAGUUGUCUUAGGGUCUGUUUCUGGGGAGCCCUGCCUAAGACUCAUGCUACAAGAAGUUAAAUAAGUUUCCCGAAGUCACACAGCUGGCCUCUCAUCCCUUUUCUACUGAGAGGAAGUGGAAUGCACUCCGACAAGGAUAAGGUUUUAUUGUGAGCUGGCCUUGGAAUUAAACCACCACCAACACACUUUUGGAUUAUCAGAAGGUGGAAGGAGUGCAAAGUAUGGUGACCAUUCUAUUUACGUUCUAUAAUAGAUUGUAAAAAGUGGCCACGAAUUCCUCCUAUCUGCAGGCUUUCCUGACUAAGGGGUGCUUCAACAUCAAAGCUCCUUAGGAUUUACUUCCUUUCUAAAGCAACGUCAAAAGGCUUUUGGUUUUAAGGAUCUAUGGGUGAAGAGAUAAUGCAGGAAGCCCGAUAUGCUGACAUGUGUGAGAGGCAUGAUCUGUUGUUUCUUGGUUCCAACUUUGCUAUCAGCACUGGACCAAGAAUGGAAAACAACUAAUAAACCCUGAAUGUGCAACAAGGACCACAGGAACCAGCCACGGGAGAGUAGACAGUCACCAAGGUCAGGGUCACGUCAGGACAGCCCUGCACGU